rnacentral:snoRNA from 1 species
UUUUUAUGAUGAUAAAAAUUUAUUUCAGUUCUGCUUCUGAUUAAAAAACCAUGUUGAUAACACCUUUACCAAAAGCUUACUUAUCUGAGAC